AGAGAAGCGUCUUCCGCGCCGGACCGUGUACAAGUCUCCUGGAAGGGAGCAUCGUAGAGGGUGACAAUCCCGUCUCUGACACGGACCGCCGGCGCUAUGUGAUGCGCUCUCGACGAGUCGAGUUGUUUGGGAAUGCAGCUCAAAUAGGGUGGUAAACUCCAUCUAAAGCUAAAUACGGGCGAGAGACCGAUAGCGAACAAGUACCGUGAGGGAAAGAUGAAAAGAACUUUGGAAAGAGAGUUAAACAGUACGUGAAAUUGCUGGAAGGGAAACGCUUGACGUCAGUCGCGUCGUCCGGGGAUCAACCUUGCCCUCUGGCUGGGCGUAUUUCCCGGUCGACGGGUCAGCAUCGAUUUCGACCGUCGUAGAAGGACUGGAGCGAAUGUGGCACUCCACGGAGUGUGUUAUAGCCUCCCGUAUGGAUGCGACGGUCGGGAUCGAGGAACUCGGCACGGCCCCUCGAGGGUUCGGGGCUUCGGUCCACGCAGCGUGCCCAGGAUGCUGGCAUAAUGGCUUUAAGCGACCCGUCUUGAAACACGGACCAAGGAGUCUAACGUGCCUGCGAGUGUUUGGGUGCAAAACCCGAGCGCGAAACGAAAGUGAAAGUCGAGACCUCCGUCGCGGAGGGCACCGACGCCCGGACCGGAGCCUUUGGCGAUGGAUCUGCGGUAGAGCAUGUAUGUUGGGACCCGAAAGAUGGUGAACUAUGCCUGAAUAGGGCGAAGCCAGAGGAAACUCUGGUGGAGGC
rnacentral:rRNA from 1 species